CUUUUUCCCCGCUUGCUUUUUUUUCUUUUCUUUUUUUUUUUUUGCACCGCUUCCAACUCUUCUUCCCUUUCUCAAUGAACCAAGGAAGACUUGAAGACUUCGACCUAAGUUUCUUGCAGAAUCAUCAUGUCUCAGGUGGUGCUUAAAAUGAAAUCCUCUAAGAAGGUGCCCCUGGGUAGGGGGCGUAGAGGCACCGACCACCAGGGGGGCUUGAUGGGCAGGAGGGUAAAGACAGGCCCCUGGAGCAGCCCCUGCCCCAGAGGGGCCGGGAGGGCAGGGGGACCACCCGAAGCUCUGCCCCUUCCCGAAGCUCUGCCUCCUGGUGUGAACUCAUGCUGCGUUUGGAGAUAAGGGGACGGAGAGAUUCAACUCCUGGCCUCUCCCUCUGCUUCUCCCCUCAGUGUGGAACCUCUGACAAACUUUGCAACACUUCUUAUCUCCCUUCCGUAGGAGACGGGCAGAAGACAGGAGAAACUUUGGUGAAACCAUCACCUUUUCUCAGCACAAUGCCAACCUCGCACCAGCCCAGUGAAGCCGCUGACCUCAGUCCAGAGACUACCACGGUUCCUGAGACAAGUUCGGAGAAAAACAUGACUUCUGCAGUGACCAAUGGCACUGGAGCCCACACUACGGAGGAGGACGCCUCCAUCCCCACCACCCCCAUGGCAGGAACCGAGGCAGAGAGACUGCAGGCUUCCCCCACCGCCAGCCCUGGGGACGUCACAGCUACACACCAUGAGCACCACAACGUGAGCCUGUCGGUUAGCAGCAGCACUGAAAUCCCCUCCCCUUCCCUGGCUGCCAGUACUCAGGAAGAAAAUCCACCUGGCCACGAAGGCACAGAGCCCUUGAGCACAACGGAAGAAGCGGAUGCAGGCAGUGCAACCCCAACGCCUCCGCCGAACAGUGUGCCAGCAACAACGAACAGCUCGCAGCUGGGACCUUCUGACAGCCAGACCGUGGGGCCUACAACAACGAGAUCUGGGACCACACCAGGGAUGAGCCCUAGGAGCGCCGCAGAGGAGAGCACCGUGGAACCACAAACUGCCUCUGCCCCCUUCUCCACCAAAGGGAGCACAUCCUCUGCUACCACCUCCAGUGCCGUGACAGUGACCCCCGUUGUGACCACCUCCACCACUACCAGCACAGCUGCUGUCACCACCAGCACAUCUGCAGUAGAGCAGCCAGUAGAGUCCAUACAUGAGAAAGCGUCUGUGUUGGAUGUUGGCGAUGAUGAAAAUCCAGAGCUGCCCAGCUCUCCUUUGGCUGAGACGACAAGGGCUGAUCCCUUGGUAAUUGCAGUGAUCUCCGUCUUCGUUGUCAUGGUGGGCAUCCUAGGCCUGGUGGGCUUCUUGAGAUACCGCCAGCACAACAGCCGCAUGGAGUUUCGGCGCCUGCAGGACCUGCCC
rnacentral:lncRNA from 1 species